rnacentral:tRNA from 1 species
GGGAGUGUGGCUCAGUGGUAGAGCGUCUCCUAGUGUGUGCCAGGCCCUGGGUUCAACCCCAGCACUGCAA